CCUGAAUCAUCAUGAUUGGCAGAGACAGAGUAUGUGAUGUGAAGUAUUCCUAUCGGAUGACAUCACUCUCCCUCUCUCUCUCUCUCCUGUGUCUAACUCAGAUUCCUAUUCCAUUUUCAAAGUUUAAGUCUUUCUCUGUUCACUCUUUCUAAUUCUUGAUCCUUAAAACAUCAAAUACUUUAGAGGGUGUAUAUACUUAACUAGUGAAACUUUUCAACAAGACCCAAAGCAGCGUAUUUGUCAAAUCUUGAAAAAAAUGUGGUCUUUAGCUCCUAAGAUCCAGGACCCAUUUACCAUUGUAGGGUAAUUUCAAGACCCAUUUCGUUUCACUGAUACUUCCAAGCAUUUUGGGCAUCGAUCUCCUUCCUUUGAGGGUAUGUACUUACCUAGUAUUUUUGGUUUUACGGUUUGUUUAGGUGAAGAUUUGUGUUGUGGAGCUCAUUAUAGAUCACUGACUUGUGAAAUUGCAUUUUGGGGUUUGGUUUUAGCUAUUUAUGACUUUGUUUGAGGUUGCAAGAGAAAGUUGCUUUGCUCUGCUUAAAGGGGUAGUUAUACAUGAACUUCGGUCCCCAUAAACUGUUUGCAACAUAGGAGACAGGUUUUAAAUUUUGGCAAUCCAAGAUUUGUUGCUUGGCCAUGUGUGUCUAGUCAAGGGUGUAUUUUGGGUUCCAAGCAGUUGUUAAGAUAUUGAAGAGAGUGUAUGAAAGAGAACAUCUUUAUCGGCUUUGAAUCUUUAUAUUUAUGGUGAUUAGUUGGUAGGAUAUUGAGAUUUUAAGUGGAUUUGGAUGCUCUUUUUGUUGUAGUUGUAAUACUGAUUUGAAAUUGUAAGGAGGUGGAUCUCGAGGUUAGUGAUAUUCCGGUGGAUUAGUUUGGAUGGCAUCUAUAAGGAGAACAUUGUCUCCUGUGCCUAGAGCUGGAACCUUAUUAAAUGGGGAAGCCUGUCAAGUGGCUUCUCCUUUGUCCAAGUCCUCAUCGUCGUAUUCUCAGAGCUACCCAACUUCUGGUGGAUUUCUAUCUUCAAUUUUUGGUUUAUCAGACGUUCAAGCUUUUGCUUAUGGUGUUUUUUCACCAAGAUCUUCGAGACCAUCGGAGAGGUCAAAAUCCAAGGGGCAAGUUUGGAAGAGGGCCCUUUUCCAUUUCUUGGUUUCUUUUGUGAUUGGGGUUUUUAUUGGACUAACCCCAUUUGUCUCGAUGAAUUUAUCAACGAAUCCCAUGUCAAAGCACCAAGCGUUUUCAUUUGAGGUGGUAUCUACUGUUGGGAAUUUUGAUAAGCAUGAAGAUAUGACAAGAAAUGCAACAACAAUAGCAGAAAGGGGAGGACUUGAGAACAGUACCACACUGGAGCCACAAGUGAAGGAAGAGGAGUCAGGGGAUGGGAAUUCUAAUGGUACCUCCAUUAGCCUAUCGCUCUCUGAAGAUGUGAAUUUGGUGUCUCGGAAACUCUUGAUCAUUGUGACCCCAACUCAUGCUCGACCACUUCAAGCCUAUUAUCUGAGUCGUUUGGCGCACACAUUAAAACUGGUUCAACCUCCUCUAUUAUGGAUAGUUGUGGAAAUGACAUUGCAAUCUGAUCAUACGGCUGAUAUCCUGAGGAGGACUGGGGUUAUGUAUAGGCAUCUUGUUUGCAACAAAAAUUUAACUGAUAUAAAAGACAGAAGUGUUCACCAAAGGAAUGUGGCAUUGUCUCACAUUGAAAUCCACCACCUUGAUGGAAUAGUCCAUUUUGCAGAUGAUUAUAACACUUACUCUGCAGAUCUUUUUGAGCAAAUGAGGCAGAUCAGGCGGUUUGGGACAUGGACAGUUGCCAAGUUAACAGGAAACAAAAACAAAGAUUUUGUAGAGGGCCCCAUUUGUAAUGGAACUCAAGUUAUUGGAUGGCAUGUGAAUGACUCAAGGAGGAGAUUUCGGAGAUUCCAUGCUGACAUGUCGGGGUUUGCCUUCAACAGUACCAUCAUUUGGGAUCCAAAACGAUGGCACCGCCCUACGCCCGAACCUAUUAGGCAGCUUGACACAGUAAGGGAUGGCUUCCAGGGGUUUAUUACUCUUAACUGGGUGACAGCAAUACAGACAGAAGCUUUGCCUCCUUAAAGAUAAUCAAUCGUUCUUUUUUCCAUCCUUGUCUUUUUUCAUUUUUUUCCUCUGAAAAGGGGAACAUUCUCAAUCCAGCAAUUCGCUACUUAUACCGGGCUUUGGCUUUAAUAAUUAACUUCACUUAUCUGCUUCUGCAGGUUAGCUCAUUUAUUGAGCAAGUUGUGGAAGAUGAAAGCCAAAUGGAGGGCUUAUUGGAGGACUGCUCAAGAGUCAUGGUCUGGCUUCUGCAGCUUCAAUCAUCUAAUUCCUUGUAUCCUCCUAAGUGGUUCCUUGAUGGUAAUCUGGAUGUCAUCACCCAGGCUGCAUGAAAUUCUUGCUUUAAAACGAGUCCAUUUGGACAAUUAAGGCGCUGUAGGAGGGAUGCAUCCAGAAUCACAGAUCUUCCUGCUCAUGGGUGAAACCAGUUAUUUGGACAGACGGGUGCUGGGAAUGGCCUUGGAUACCACUGGCUGAUAUUUUGCCUAAUACAUCAGAGUAUAGGCAGCAGCACUGUUUAAACAUUGCUUUUGUACAGUCAUAUCAUUUGCCCAUUUUCAGUGUUGCUGCUCUUUCCGAACAAAUUGGCUAAAUUUUUUAUUACUUGAGGAAAGGGUGGUUAAAAUUGUAAACCACCCUCAAGUUCAAGCUUGGCACCAACAUUUUUUAUUUGUUUUAACGUCAAAGGUAUCCUGUGUGUAAAACUCAAAGCAAUUUUGGAAAAUCUACGUGGUACUUGUCUGUGUCUAA